GAUGAACGCUGGCGGCGUGCCUAAUACAUGCAAGUCGAGCGAACGGACGAGAAGCUUGCUUCUCUGAUGUUAGCGGCGGACGGGUGAGUAACACGUGGAUAACCUACCUAUAAGACUGGGAUAACUUCGGGAAACCGGAGCUAAUACCGGAUAAUAUUUUGAACCGCAUGGUUCAAAAGUGAAAGACGGUCUUGCUGUCACUUAUAGAUGGAUCCGCGCUGCAUUAGCUAGUUGGUAAGGUAACGGCUUACCAAGGCAACGAUGCAUAGCCGACCUGAGAGGUGGUCGGCCAAACCUGGAAUGGAGACCGGUCCAAGCCCCUUGGGGGGGGAGGCGGAGGGAAUUCUUCGGAAGGGGGCAAAGCCCAGACGGGGCAGCCCCGGGGGAGUAAUGAGGGUUUUGGGAUGUAAAAACUUUUUUAUUGGGGAAAAAAAUAUUUGAAAGUACCGGUGCACUUCUGGAGGGUACUUAAUAAAAAGGCCAGGGCUAACAAGGGC
rnacentral:rRNA from 1 species